GGAGGAAUAGCUCAGCAGGUUAGAGCGUAAGCUUGUCGAGCUUAAUGUCGCGAGUUCAAAUCUCGUUUCUUCCG
rnacentral:tRNA from 1 species